CAAUUAAAAGUUUUGUUUUUUUUUUAUAAAAUAAACUAAUUCGUUUUGUUAAGUUUCCAAGUUAGUUAGUUAAGUUGGUAGUAGUCACAAUAGUCUAGGGACCCAUUUGUGGGAAAGCUAAAAGUAUAAAAAAAAAAAAAAGAAACUAAAUGAACGGUGGAAACCAUGGAAAUCAUUUUUGAACAAAAAAAAAAUUGAAGGUUCAUAUUGAAACCUUUUGCCGCCCAACAGGAUGCCAUGCCAGCGAAACUUUGCUUCACAUUUCCUUUUAUUUCAUGAUUUCCUUUUGAAACAACCAUAUCUCCUUAGAAAUUUCCACUGAUUUCUCGAGAAUUAUAAUCAAUUCCACAUUUCUUUUUUUGAAACCAAUCACGAACCUAACCAUUGCUCACGGCCGCAUACAUUAUCGUCUAAUCAAUUCCCUAAUCAUCGACAACUUUGACCUUCGCUGAUUGACAUCAUGUACGCGUUUCCUGUUUUCGAUCAAUCACGAUUUCGUUUCCUAACUUACGAGUCAUGCGAGUGCUAUAAGAACCGAAGCCUUCUUCACCGAUUUACCCACACAACUCCGCAACAUUGUUUCGCACAUCCCUCUUCACGAUUCGACACCCUCACAACUCCGCAACACCUUCGCACAACUUGCACACUAGUUGGAGUCCUACCGGAGUAAACCACAGCCUACCGGAGAUCGACGGCGACGCCGGAGACGGUCGCCAGAACCAAGGUUCAAGUCGGAAACUUACGUCGCCAUGUUUCGGUUGAUUUAUCAAGAUACAAGAAAGCAAGCUAGGAUGGCCUAGAAACUCAUUUUAGAAAUAAACUAUUGUUUGAAUUUAUAUUUGGAUGUUUGAAACUUUGUAUUAUCCUUUAGUAUCUAAUAAAAUGAUUUAAUUUAUAUUGUCA